UGGUCAGAUACAAGCAGAGGAGAAACCUUGGGCAGUUUGACAGAAAUUCCUCAGGUGUUUCUGAUGCCUGUUUCUGCCUCCUCCUUUGCAUCUGCCCUGCCCGACCGCUCCCACCAAGAACCUCUGGACUGGAUCUUGGCAGUCGACAGGUCACGUACGGAAGCAUCCAUCCCCAUCUCGAGUGAAGACUUCAGCAUAGGAUUCUGACGGGGACAGGUCCCAGUUUGGUCAGACACCUUGGAAGCCCAGUGCCCCACAGGAAGAGAUCAGAAAAGAAAGCUCUGUACACAGCCGAUCCAGCCAAAGCAGAGUUUCUGGUGGAUGCAGCCCGUAUUGGAAGGGUUUGUAAGGACGGCGUCAUAUUGUUGGUCCCUGUGUGGCCCAGGACAUGUGUAGGUCCAGCCAUUAGCAGAACAAGCUGAUCCUCCUUUGUAAACUCUUCAUGCGCUCAAAGGUUAUUCCAGCCUGAUCUGGGAGGCAGUGUUCCUGGCAGACAGGGCAACUCGAGGCCCUGCAUUUAGCAAUUUUAUGGGUGUCCAGCCUCUACCUCCCACCCUGGCCUUUGGGGAGCCUGCACAGUGCACCUGGUGGAGCACCUGAGCCUGGGAUAGAAGGGGGGGGUGUCAGGAAAAUGACUUGAUAAUGGAAACAAUUUGAUCAUCUCAUUCUACCCGUUUCCUGGGAGGAAACAGGAUCUAAAUUUAACGGCCUCUGCUUCUAGAAGAUUGGGUUUGUUUUGUUUAAAGGACUCCCUGGUGAUUUGCUUCUAGUUUUUCCGUUGUCUCCGUAGCAAUUUGAAAUUGUCCUAGGUCUGAGAGCAGGCCUGUCAUCCCCAUGGGGGAUCUUUCAGGGGCAACGUGUUCUUCAUUGGAUAGCAGGCUAAAAGUAGAAUCUCUGGGUUUUGCAAAUGUAACAGCAACCGUGGAGCUAGGCGCCCCGCAGGGAGGAGGACUGGACUCCAGGGCCUCCGGCCUCCCUGCAAAUACCUGAGGGUGCUCCCAGAGGAAGCUAAUAAACAUGUGCCCUCGGCACUCCCCCACA